rnacentral:SRP_RNA from 1 species
CGCGCAGGGCGGGGGGUUAGCGGUCCCCUGUAUCCAAAACCCGCUAUACGUGGAGCCCUUGGGCCCUCCGAGAGGGCAGGGGGAUGGAACCGGCUCGGAGGCCGCGGCGUAGACGGCCGAGCCCCCUACGACGCAUGCCGGUGAACCCCGCCAGGCCCGGAAGGGAGCAACGGUAAGCCGGCCCCUGCGGGUGAUAGGGGAUCCCUUGGCCCGAGCCAACGCCCCGGGACACGCCCAUUGACCUGCCCG